GAUGAACGCUAGCUACAGGCUUAACACAUGCAAGUCGAGGGGUAACGAGAGGAAAGCUUGCUUUCCUUGUCGACGACCGGCGCACGGGUGAGUAACGCGUAUCCAACCUGCCCCCAACUAGGGAAUAACCUUGCGAAAGUAAGACUAAUACCCUAUAAUUUCCUCAGAUGUCAUCUGACGAGGAAUAAAGAUUUAUCGGUUGUGGAUGGGGAUGCGUCUGAUUAGCUUGUUGGCGGGGUAACGGCCCACCAAGGCAACGAUCAGUAGGGGUUUUGAGAGGAAGGUCCCACACAUUGGAACCGAGACGCGGUCCAAACUCCUACGGGAGGCAGCAGUGAGGAAUAUUGGUCAAUGGGCGGAAGCCUGAACCAGCCAAGUAGCGUGCAGGAUGACGGCCCUAUGGGUUGUAAACUGCUUUUAUACAGGAAUAAAGUUAGCCACGUGUGGUUAUUUGUAGGUACUGUAUGAAUAAGGACCGGCUAAUUCCGUGCCAGCCGCCGCAGUAA
rnacentral:rRNA from 1 species